rnacentral:rRNA from 1 species
GAUGAACGCUGGCGGCGUGCUUAACACAUGCAAGUCGAACGGGAAACCUUUUAUUGAAGCUUCGGCAGAUUUAGCUGGUUUCUAGUGGCGGACGGGUGAGUAACGCGUGGGUAACCUGCCUUAUACAGGGGGAUAACAACCAGAAAUGGUUGCUAAUACCGCAUAAGCGCACAGGACCGUAUGGUCCGGUGUGAAAAACUCCGGUGGUAUAAGAUGGACCCGCGUUGGAUUAGCUAGUUGGCAGGGUAACGGCCUACCAAGGCGACGAUCCAUAGCCGGCCUGAGAGGGUGAACGGCCACAUUGGGACUGAGACACGGCCCAGACUCCUACGGGAGGCAGCAGUGGGGAAUAUUGCACAAUGGGGGAAACCCUGAUGCAGCGACGCCGCGUGAAGGAAGAAGUAUCUCGGUAUGUAAACUUCUAUCAGCAGGGAAGAUAGUGACGGUACCUGACUAAGAAGCCCCGGCUAACUACGUG